rnacentral:rRNA from 1 species
GUGCGUAACGCGUAUACAAUCUGCCUUUCACUGGGGGAUAGCCCGAAGAAAUUUGGAUUAAUACCCCAUAGUAUAUWGRGACGGCAUCGUKWUWMUAUUAAAGCUWMGGUGGUGAAAGAUGAGUAUGCGUUCUAUUAGCUAGUUGGAGAGGUAACGGCUCCCCAAGGCGAUGAUAGAUAGGGGUUCUGAGAGGGAUGUCCCCCACACUGGUACUGAGAUACGGACCAGACUCCUACGGGAGGCAGCAGUGAGGAAUAUUGGACAAUGGUCGGAAGACUGAUCCAGCCAUGCCGCGUGCAGGAUGAAGGUCUUAUGGAUUGUAAACUGCU